CAGUCGCCGCGGUAAUACAGAGGGUGCGAGCGUUAAUCGGAUUUACUGGGCGUAAAGCGUGCGUAGGCGGCUUUUUAAGUCGGAUUUGAAAUCCCUGAGCUUAACUUAGGAAUUGCAUUCGAUACUGGGAAGCUAGAGUAUGGGAGAGGAUGGUAGAAUUCCAGGUGUAGCGGUGAAAUGCGUAGAGAUCUGGAGGAAUACCGAUGGCGAAGGCAGCCAUCUGGCCUAAUACUGACGCUGAGGUACGAAAGCAUGGGGAGCAAACAGGAUUAGAUACCCCUGUAGUCCCUGUAUCUUAUAC
rnacentral:rRNA from 1 species